AGAAACUUAGGUUACACCCUUAAACCAAGGACCUUCAAAGUCCUAAACACGGAAUAAAACCCCGUAGUUUCUG
rnacentral:tRNA from 1 species